rnacentral:lncRNA from 1 species
GUACUUUCAAGUGAAAAGCUCUGCCCACAUUUAUUUUAGGUGACUAUUCAUAUUACAAGGAUCAUAAAUCAGCAUAUUAUUAUCAAUGCAAUGCACACUUUCAGCUGACUGACAUGUUGAUCUACACAGGGACAAUGAUGAAGAGCCAUACAACAGUAUUAGGCAGGAGGAAAAUAUGGAUCUUGAUCUAAUGAGAUGAGAUGUAAACAUUUGCUGCACAGUGAAAGUAUUGUACCUGAAGAAAGCUUUUGAAUCUGGCUUCUGUUUUUAAUGUUGUUGUUUUUUUGGGGGGUAAUUAAAAAGAGACAAAUAUUUGUGCCAGAAAAUAUAAGAGGACUCCAGGAGGCAGAGCAGCUCAUCUAACUGAGAUCAGUGGCUCGACAAACCAGUUAAGAAAUUUUGUGGGCAUUUUCAAAAGAACACAAAAAGUACCUGAAGAGCCAUCCAGACCAGAACAUAUCUGAACUUAGCUGAGAAAUGAUUUCAAAAGUAGACUUCCACUGGGAAUGUCAAUGAGGUAAGGAUAUUUUUGACAUAUUAUCUGCAUUACUGAGCUUUAUUUGAUUUGCAAGAUUAAAAGAGAUUGAGUUGAAAGAAGCAGUGAGCUGCACCUUAAUGGAACAAUAACCUGACAUCAAAGAUGUGUGUGAUUUGAAAGACUGAGUGGCAGCUGCUACAAGGAGAUUAUAAAAUCAGAAUCCAGGCUUCAGUAGUGUUUUGGUGUUGAACACAAACCUGUAGUUCAGUUCAGGAAUAAUUUUAGCACAUCAAACGUAAUCUAUGCUGACUACUUUUUUGCUUCCAUCUUUUUCCCUAAUUAGAUAAUAAUCAAGAGCUUACAUUACUGUCUGAAAAACCCAGAGAGAAUUGUUACUUUUCUACUUGUGACAGUGAUAUUUUUAGCCAAAGCUGUCUUCAUCUGGGAGAUGACUCAGUGGGGUGAGGUCAAAAAACAGCAAACUGGACAUGUACUUUCCUUUCCUAGAAAAGGAAAGUAGAGAAAAAUCACUUGUGUCAAUCUCUCAUUCCUAUCCAGAAUUUGAGCCUACAGCUCUCUGGUUGCUCUGGUUCCUGGGUAAUCUAUCAGCUGGGAGAUUCUUUUCAAGAUCUGCUUGCCAUGAUAUAUAUCUGGAACCACACAUGUGGAACAGGAUAAUAGACCUCUAUUCUGCAUCUGUCUGGCAAAUCCUGUGUCUGCAGCUCUCAGUGUCUGGCAAACCUGCUUCCUCUGUCUGGAUAUAAAUAAGUUCAGACAAAGGUUUCUGUAAGGAUCCUGGGUUUUUCCUACAUUUUUAAACAGUUGUAAAUCUGCAUUUUGCAACAUAUCCACUGUGCUGAUAUACCUGAUCCGGUUAAUGCCAAAAACUACAGUAUGAAAACACAGUAAAAGUCCUGUCAUAUCGAUGCAUAAAACUUAAUGUCCUGUUUCUAUUUGUGGUUUAAAUACUGUUCAUGUUCUGUGAUUGAAAGGAAGUUUGCAGUGAAAGAAAUUCACAUAAGAAAAUGAAAACCCUUACCUAGAAGAGGAAGAACUCAGUAAUAGUGUAAAAUCCUUUCUGUACAUAGGAUUUAUUAAUAUUUUGCUGCUGGUGGCAUUCAUCUCUCUUCUUUAGACAGCUCAUUAAACAACUGCUAAAGUGUUUAAUAAAUUAAUUUAUGAUAAUAAAUUAACA